rnacentral:sRNA from 1 species
CAGAGACGGCAUCAUCUUCUAGGUAUAUUGUCAUCAUUUUCACUAUACCUGUUUGUUGUGCUUUGUUUAUUCUGUUAGUAGCAAAAUUUGGUACCGUCCAAAGUGAUAUCAAGUCUACGCCCACGAGCACUGCCAAUGAUCCGAGUACAACAGACAUGACGUCACGUUAACAUUUGCAGUUGGGUCUUUCGUACUUCACUCUGAAUGAGCCCUUUUAUGCUUUUACUGUAAACUGUUUGUAACCUUUGAAUGAGAUUGAAAGUUUCUUGUAUGUGUUUCUAAGACUUGGUUAUGUGAGGCUUUCAAAUGAAAAUAAAACGAAUUGACUAUUGAAACGUG